AUGGAGCGAGUGUCUGGGUUGCUUUCCUGGACGCUGAGCAGGGUCCUAUGGCUCUCAGGGUUUUCUGAGCACGGAGCUGCCUGGCAGCCCCAGAUCAUGGAAGAGAAAGCGCUAGAAGUUUAUGAUUUGAUUUGAACUAUCCAGGACCCAGAAAAGCCCAAUGCUUUAGAAGAACUGGAAGUGGUCACAGAGAGUUGUGUGGAAGUUCAAGAAAUAAAUGAAGAUAACUAUUUGGUUAUUAUCAAGUUCACACCAACAGUGCCUCAUUGCUCUUUGGCAACUCUUAUUGGGCUGUGCUUAAGAGUAAAGCUCUAGCGGUGUCUGCCGUUCACUGGACAGAAGAAGAUAUCAACAAGCAGAUAAAUGACAAAGAGCAAGUGGCAGCUGCAAUGGAGAACCCCAACCUUCGGGAAAUCGUGGAACAGUGCAUCCUCAAGCCGGAAUGA
rnacentral:lncRNA from 1 species